GAUGAACGCUAGCGGCAGGCCUAAUACAUGCAAGUCGGACGGGAUCCAUCGGUAGCUUGCUAUCCAUGGUGAGAGUGGCGCACGGGUGCGUAACGCGUGAGCAACCUGCCUCCAUCAGGGGGAUAGCCUCUCGAAAGAGAGAUUAACACCGCAUAACAUAUCAGACCGGCAUCGGUCGGAUAUCAAAUAUUUAUAGGAUGGAGAUGGGCUCGCGUGACAUUAGCUUGUUGGUGGGGUAACGGCCCACCAAGGCGACGAUGUCUAGGGGCUCUGAGAGGAGAAUCCCCCACACUGGUACUGAGACACGGACCAGACUCCUACGGGAGGCAGCAGUAAGGAAUAUUGGUCAAUGGGCGGAAGCCUGAACCAGCCAUGCCGCGUGCAGCAUGACUGCCCUAUGGGUUGUAAACUGCUUUUGUCCGGGAAUAAACCUCCUUACGUGUAGGGAGCUGAAUGUACCGGAAGAAUAAGGAUCGGCUAACUCCGUG
rnacentral:rRNA from 1 species